UCAAAGUUAUCAGUUAGCUUUCCCAGCAUGGCAACUUCAUUGCCUAGUCAUUCUCUAUGGUAUUCACUUCUGCUUCAGCUGCUGCUGCUGCUGCCUGUUCUGAGUGUUGCUAAAACUCCUGUGAAGUUUACUUUGGGCUCAUCCCUCACUGCCAUAGACAACAGUUCGUAUUUGGCAUCACCAUCGGGUGAAUUCGCUUUUGGAUUCCAACAGAUUGGAAGUGGAAGGUUCUUGCUUGCUAUUUGGUUCAACAAAAUACCUGAAAAGACCAUAAUUUGGUCAGCCAAUGGCAAUAAUCUAGUGCAGAGAGGAUCCAAGAUUCGCCUUACCAGUGAUGGUGAGUUCAUGCUGAAUGACCCAACAGGCAAACAGAUAUGGAAAGCUGAUCCAGUCAGUCCUGGAGUCUCCCAUGCGGCCAUGCUCGACACUGGAAACUUUGUGCUGGCAAGCCAAGAUUCCACCCUUCUGUGGGAGAGUUUCAAUCAUCCAACAGACACAAUAUUACCUACCCAGAUCCUGAAUCAAGGCGGCAAACUUGUUGCUCGGAUUUCGGAUAUGAGUUAUUCAAGUGGGAGAUUCCUGUUUACAUUACAAGAUGAUGGAAAUCUUGUGCUUUCCCACAGGGAUUUCAGAAAGGGUUCUACUAGUACUGCUUAUUGGUCUAGCCAGACAGAAGGUGGAGGCUUUCAGGUUAUCUUCAACCAGUCUGGCCAUGUCUACCUUUCAGGGAGAAACAGCAGCAUACUCAAUGGGGUGUUUUCCACUGCAGCUUCCACAAAAGACUUCCACCAGAGAGCAAUUCUUGAACAUGAUGGAGUCUUCAGGCAAUAUGUCUACCCAAAAAAAGCUGCUGUUUCAAGUGCCGGUAGCUGGCCUAUGACCUGGACCUCUUUGGCCUCAAUAGCAACAGAGAAAAUCUGCACCAUCAUCAAUGCAGAAACAGGCAGUGGAGCUUGUGGCUUCAACAGCUACUGUAUUUUGGGAGAUGAUCAGAGGCCUUAUUGCAAGUGCCCUCCUGGCUACACCUUCUUGGAUCCACAUGAUGAAAAGAAGGGAUGCAAGCAGAACUUUGUCCCACAGAGCUGCAAUCAAGAAUCACGAGAAACCAAUGAGUUUGAUUUUGAAAAUAUGACAAACGUGGACUGGCCGCUGGCAGAUUAUGAACACUUUAAAGAAGUAACUGUGGAUUGGUGCAGAAAUGCCUGCUUGGAUGAUUGUUUUUGUGCUGUUGCUAUUUUUGGAGAUGGGGAUUGUUGGAAGAAAAAAAACCCUCUCUCAAAUGGGAGGUAUGAUCCUAGUAACGGAAGAUUAGCUCUGAUUAAAGUAGGAAAGGGUAAUUUUACUUGGCCACCAAACUGGGAAGGCUUCAAGAAGAAAGAUCGGUCAACUCUAAUCACCACUGGGUCUGUGCUGCUAGGUAGCUCAGUUUUUCUGAACCUUCUCCUCCUCCUAGCAGCAAUUAUGUUCAUCUUCUACUUGAAUGACAGAAAAUCAAAGGCUGUCGAACCAAGGCCAGCCAUGGAAGGAGCCAACCUAAGAAGUUUCACUUACAGUGAGCUAGAAGUGGCUACUGAUGGAUUCAAGCAUGAAAUUGGAAGGGGGGCUUUUGCAACAGUUUAUAAAGGGACGCUAGCCCAUGACAAUGGGGAUUUUGUUGCAGUCAAGAGGUUGGACAGGAAGGUGGUAGAAGGAGAGCAGGAAUUCGAGACUGAAGCAAGUGUAAUUGGCCGGACCAAUCACAAGAAUCUAGUCCAGCUCCUGGGGUUCUGCAAUGAGGGACAACACCAGCUUCUUGUAUACGAGUUUAUGAGUAAUGGUUCUCUAUCAGCCUUCCUAUUUGGAAAAUCAAGGCCAAGUUGGUACCACAGGAUACAGAUUAUCCUUGGGACUGCAAGAGGGCUCUUGUACUUACAUGAAGAGUGCAGCACCCAGAUCAUACACUGUGACAUUAAACCUCAAAAUAUACUCCUAGACGACGGUUUCACAGCAAGGAUCUCCAACUUUGGAUUAGCAAAGCUUCUGAAGUCUGAUCAGACUCGAACGAUGACUGGAAUCAGGGGAACCAGAGGGUACCUUGCCCCUGAGUGGUUCAAGACAGUGCCUAUUACUGUCAAGGUUGAUGUUUACAGCUUUGGAAUUCUGCUGCUGGAGCUCAUUUUCUGUAGGAAGAAUUUUGAGCUAGAGCUGGAGGAUGAAGAUCAGGUGGUAUUGGCUGAUUGGGCAUAUGAUUGCUACAAAGAAGGGAAACUGGAUCAGAUACUGGAAAAUGAUAAGGAGGCAUUGAAUGACAUAGAGACAGUGAGGAAGUUUUUGAUGAUUGCAUUCUGGUGCAUUCAGGAGGAUCCAUCUAAAAGGCCUACCAUGAAGACAGUCACUCAGAUGCUUGAAGGUGCACUUGAAGUUUCUGUUCCUCCAGAUCCGUCCUCAUUUAUCAGUUCAACUUGCUUCAUUUCCACUCCAGGAAGUAAUGGUGCUUGAUACUGGUCUGCUGGUGAAAAUGGAUUUAGUAGCAAGUAUUAUAUAGAUAUCCAGUUAUGUUGUACUUAAUCUAUGGUAAGCCAUGGUUUUGAAUCUUUAUCUACUUCAACUAGUAGUCGUGUUAAAUAUUGAUAUUUGUAAAAUUAUAUUUUCCUCUGGUCUAAAUUAUAGUAUCAAUAUUGUGAUAUUUUUCAUUUGAAUCUUCAAUCAAUAGAAUCAUCACUCAAGUUCAGGCAAUUGGAAGGCAUCAACACUAAUACAGAUCAUGGUCUCAAGCCAUCAACUGACUCCAAAAAGUUCAGGAAAGAAAAAAAAAAAAAAAAAAUCCAAAAAUCAGUAGCAGACAGAAACAUACUGUAAUCCAAAAAUCAGAAUUGAUACAUGUUAUGUGAUUGAAAAUUGAGUCUAAAACAUGAACAAGAAAUCAAAAUUUGAUCAGCCAGUUAUGCAAAUGGCAAACCAAAAUAACAUCUGAAUAGAGAUUACUCAGACCCAAAACCUUCUAUGCAAGUCCCUCUGUGCAUUUUCAAUAUCUGAAUUGAGGGAUAAUAUAUUGUUAUAAGAAUACAUUCAAUACAUAGGCAAUAGUGGAAAAUUUUACUGAAUCAAAACCAGCCAUACAAGUCCUUCAGAGCACUUUUCAUCUCAGAAUGUAGAGCUGGUGGCAAAGGGAAAUUAAUCUGCCAAUAAGGAUACAAUCUGCAGUAAAACAAUAAAUUCAUCUUAGACCAAUACUAAAUAGAGAUAUUCAUUUCUUUUAGCCUUGAUGGUAGCCAAGCACAAGCCUACUAUCAUCAGUGAACUCUACUUUAGAUCCCCUGUUCAGCAGGCUGAUUUCCAUCUGCAUAUUGGACUAUGGUCUUCUGGGGUAUCAUGUUUUAUCAUCUUGAAGGUAAGAUCAGAUCCUCUUUGUCCAGUUGGUGAAAUCACCAGGAGGAAAACAGCUAAACAUGAGAGCAGAAGAAACAACAUGAGAAGAGCAAGAGAAGUGAAUUUGUUCUGAUAUUUUGCUGCUCACUUGAUGAACACUGACUUUUGAGUCCUCUUAGAAUAGAAGUUAGGAUAAAAAGAAUGCAGAACUUUACCAAUCCAAAGGGAAUAAUAACCCUAGAUUGAUUACUUAAUACACUUAGGCAAAACAUCUCCACAUUAUUUCUUUCUACACACCAAAAGUACAACACCAGCAAUCUAAUACACCUUAUUCAUUAUCAACCAAUAUUAUAUGUCUAUUUGGAAAGCAUCAAGCUGAGCUGGUCAAUGAGGGUGGGUCUGGAGGACAGGAACUUCAGUGGCACCUUCCAGCAUCUUCAUGACUGUCUUCAUUGUCGGUCUCUGAGAUGGAUCCUCCUGAGUGCACCAGAAUGCUACCAUGACAAACUUCUCCAGCCUCUUUAUGUCAUCCAAUGCCUCCUGAUCAUUUCCCACUAAUAGAUCUAAUUUCCCUUCUUUGUAGCAAUCAUAUGCCCAUUCUCCCAAUACCAUCUGCUUUUCAUCCUCCACCUCUGGCUCGAAAUUCUUCCUGCAGAAGAUUAGCUCUAGCAGCACAAUUCCAAAGCUGUAGACAUCAACCUUGAAUGUAAUAGGCACCUUCUUGAACCACUCAGGGGCAGCAUACCCUUUGGUCCCCAUCACUCCAGUCGUAGUUCCAGUCUGAUCCAUCUUCAGAAGCUUAGCUAAUCCAAAAUCAGAAAUCCUUGCUGUUAAAGAGUCAUCAAGGAGUAUAUUCUGAGGAUUAAUAUCACCGUGAAUAGCCUGGAUGCUGCACUCUUCAUGCAAGUACAAGAGCCCUCUUGCAGUUCCUAGGAUAAUCUCCAUUCUUUUAUACCAACUUGGUCUUGAAUUGCCAAAUAGGAAGGUUGCUAAAGAGCCAUUGCUCAUGAACUCAUACACAAGAAGCCGGUGUUGCCCCUUAUUGCAGAAUCCCAGAAGUUGGACUAGAUUUUUGUGAAUUGUCCGGCCAAUUGCACCCACUAUUUUUUCAAAUUCCUGCUUGUCUCCUUCUCCCACUGCUCUGUCCAGCUUCUUGACUGCAACAAGAUUUCCAUUAUCAUGGGCUAGAGUACCUUUGUAAACUGUUGCAAAAGCCCCAGUUCCCAGUUCAUCCUUGAAUCCAUCAGUGGCCUCUUCUAGCUCAUCAUAAGCGAAUCGUUUUAGAUUUGUUCCCAGCAUGACCAGGCGUGAUUCAUCAAUCAUCGGCUUUCUCUGAUUCAAGCGGUAGAUGAACAUGGCAGUUGCUAGGAGGAGAAGAAUGUUGAGAAGCACUGAGCUACCUAGCAGCACUGAUCCAGUGAGGAUUAGAGUAGCCUGAUCUUUACCUUCACUUCCAAGUGGGAAAGUAGAAUUAUCCUUUCUUACUUUAAUCAGUGCUAUUCGCCCGUUACUAGAAUCAAACCUCCCAUUUGACAGAGGGAAUUUCUUCUUCCAACAAUCCCCCUCUCUAACAAUGGCAACAGCACAAAAGCAAUCAUCCAAGCAAGCUUUUCUGCACUCAUCCUCAGUAAAUAGCUGAAAUCGGUCAUAAUCUGACAAUGGCCAAUCCACGUUUGUCAUCCUCACAAAAUCAAACUCACCUGUUUCAUGUGAUCCUUCACUGCAAAUUUCUGGAAAAAAGUUCUGUCUGCACCCCUUCACUUGAUCAUGCGGAUCCAAGAAGGUGUAACCAGGUGGGCAUUGGCAAUAAGGCCUCUGAUCAUCUCCCAGAGUACAGUAGCUGUUGAACCCGCAAGCUCCACUGCCUGUCCCUGCUGUAAUUGCUGUGCAGAUGUUUUCAGGUAUGAAAGAAGACAAACUGGACCACCCACCAGCCCUUGAGCCGGCAGUUUUUGGGUAGACAUAUUGCCUGAAAACCCCAUCAUAUUCAAGAAUCCCUCUCUGGUAGAAGUCUGGAGUUGAAGCCUUAUUUGGCAGCACUUCAUUGAGUAUGCUUCCAUUCCUCCCUAUAAGGUAGAUGUUACCCGACUGGUUGAAUAUCACCAGAAAGCCACUGCCUACAGUGUCACUUUCCCAGUAAGCAAAAUUUGCAGAAUCCAUUGGGAAAUCAGUGGUGUAAAGCACUAGAUUCCCAUCAGUCUGCAGCGAAAACAUGAAUCUUCCCCUUGAGUAAUUCGUUUCUGAGUAACGAGCAACAAGCUUGCUGCCUUGCUCCAGUAUCUGGGUGGGCAAUAUAGUGUCUGUUGGAUGAUUGAAACUCUCCCACAAAUAGGUGGAAUUCUGGCUUGCAAGCACAAAGUUUCCAGUGUCAAGCAUGGCUGCAUACGCGACUCCAGGACCGAUCAGAUCAGCCUUCCACAUCUGCUUGCCUUUCUGGUCAUUGAGAAUGAACUCUCCAUCAGUGGUGAGUUCAACUUUGGAUCCUCUUGGCUUUGGAUUAUCGCUGUUGGCUGACCAAAUUAUGGUCUUUUCAGGUACUUUGUUGAACCAAAUAGCUAGUAGGAAACCUCCAUUUCCAAUCUGUUGGAACCCAAAAGCGAAAUCACCAGAUGGGGAUGCCCAAAAGGAAUCGUUCUUCUGAGCAGUAAGGGAAGAGCCCAAGCUAAACUUCCCAGAAGUUUGAGCAUAGCUUGAAACAGGUUUCAGCAGAAGAAGCAGAAGCAGAAGCAAAUAGCAGAGAGGGUGAUUACAAGGCAGUGUAGGUGCCAUGUUAAGAGAGCUAAACUACAAAGACUGAACUGAAACUGAACCUCUCAAGUUGUAACUGGUGGGAGGAAGAGGAGCUAUGAAUUUAAUAUCCAUGGAAAUUUUCUUCUCAUGGGCUAGAAAUUUAGCAGAUUUCUUUAACAAGUACUGCUGUCUUAGAUCAUCGUCUUCUAGUGACUUUACUCGAGUAUAUCACCUCAUUGGUCCAAGAAAAAAGAAUGGUGCACCUUGGCUAGACAAUUCUUGUAGGUUUUAGUCUUAGUCAGCUGGGUCACUGUCAGUAAUGAAAAUCAUAUAUACGUGCUUCAAACUGAAUGAAAAUUCAUAGUAUCCACCCAUAAAAUUCAGAUAAGGUUGCAGACUCGCAGGUAGGGUACAUGAAGAUCCAAUGGAAAUUUAGAAACCCCUGUUCAUUACUUGAACUUUGACCUUUAGUUGUAGCUCUGAGGCAAAUUUUCUGUCUCUUUCGGUUCAUCUUGGACAUUAGCAACCAAUAUGUAAAUACACUGGCAUCCCAUCAGUGGAGGAUCAGCAACUCUUAAAGAGUUCGUUUGUCUGCCAUUUUGGAAGCGCUUCUAGCGUAAAGAAAUAUUUUUGAAGAAAAAUAAGACCUUUGAUAAAAUUUUAAAAAUACUUUUAAAAAAUUUAAAAAUUGUUUGCAGUGCUUCAUGAAAAUUAAAAUUAAGCUCAAGACAUGUCUUCAAAAAGAACUUUAUUUAAAAAUAGGAAAAUGUGAGGGAAAGAAAAGAGAGAGGAAAAGUAGAAAGAAAGAAAAAAUGAAGGAAAAUAAAAAAUAGGUUUAGGUUAUUGAAAAUUAUUAAGGAAAAAAAAUGUUAAAGAAAAUGAUUUUUUAAUGUUUGGUUUUAACAUAAAAUAUAAAAAAAUAUAAUUAAAAUUAGUUAAAAAUCUAUACAUUUUUUAAAUUAUUUAAUUUUUAUAUAGAAGAAGAAAAUAAGAGAAAUGAGUUUACGAUAGCAUAUGAAAUAAUUUAUUGAUUUUAAUUUUUUAAAAUUUUUUUUCUUCACUUUAUUUUUUAAAAUUUUUCUUCAUUUUUUUUCCUUUAACUUUUUCUUUCUAUUUUCUUUCCUUCGUAUUUUCCCUCACAUUUUUAGGGAACCAAAUAUAGCCUUAAACUCAGUAAAUUAUUUUUAUAGACUUCUUAAAACUCAUUUGACUUAUUUUUGGUUAUUAUAUAAAGAUUAAAUAAUUUAAAAAUAUAUAAAAUUUUAACAAUAAUUAUAUUUGAUUUUCUUUUGUAUUUUUCAUGGUAAAACUAAAUAUGAAAAAAUCAUUUUUCUUUAACACUUUUUAUUUCUUUAAUACUUUUCUACAACCAAACAUAGUUUUAAUGAAAGAAAAAUAUUAAAUGAAAUUUAUUUUUUUUCAUAUUUGAUCGUCUUAUAAAAAAAUUCCAAAGAAAAUUAAAUAUAAUUAAAAUCAGUUAACAACUUAUAUAUUUUUAAAUUAUUUAAUCUUUAUAUCAAAUAGUUUGAAAUAAUAUAUAAAAAUAAUUUAUUAACUUUAAAUUUAUUUUUUAUUUUUCUUUGUUUUAACUUCCUUUUACUUUUAGGUUAUGUUUGAUUAUUGAAACAUAACGAGAAAAGAAAAAAAUUGAUGGAGAAAACAAUUUAAUUUUUAUAUCAAAAAAUUAAAGUAAUAAAAUGACUUUGAAGCGGUAUAUAUAAAUAAUUUAUGAACUUAAAUUUAUUUUUCAUAUUUUCUUUUCUUUUACUUUUCUUCUAUUUUCUUACCUUUAUAUUUUUCUUUCAUAUUUUCAAGAACCGAAUAGAGCCGUGGUCUUCAUUUUUUUUUUCUUUACAUCUUCUCUUAAAUUUUCUGGAAACUAAACAUAGCCUUAUGUUAAUCAAUUUUCCAAAUUUGUCUAUUGCUAAUGUAAUUUUGAUUCGUUCCCUCGACUAUAGGUUGGAUUCAUCUUUGAUCACUAGUAUCUUUCUUUGAUAGAUCAAAUAGAAGAAAAUUAUUUUAUUUAUUUAUUUUUAUCAUCCUUAUACUUUUGAGAACCAAAGAUAAUUUUUCUUUGAUGACUGGCUGGCUGGGGGCGGCUCCAAGACUCUGGACUUUUCAAUAAGAUUGAGACAAUGACACUAGGAAAGGGUCAUAUAUGUACUCAAGGAAUAGCUUCAUUUGUAUUUGUUAAUUGAUUAGAUAAGUGUUGGUAUGAUAUUUCAUUCAAUAAAUUAUAAGGUGGGUGGAGUUAUUUUCAAAUUGUAUCUAUAAACCCUUUUUUAUUAAAUAUUUUUUAAAGAAUAGAAAAUAAUUAAUGUUAGGCUUAGUUUUGAUACACUUGUUUUUUUUUAAAUAAAACUUCUAUGUAAAAAGAAAGAACCUGAAAAUCAUUAAAAAUAGUCUUAUGUGAUUGGUUUUGUAAAAAAAUUGAAUUUAUCCCUCAUUGUAUGAAAAUACUCAUUGAUUAAUUAAGAAAAGUUACUCUUUAUCCGCUUAAAUAGUCCAAUAUAAAAAGAUUUAGUUUAUAAAAGUAUUUUCGAGAUUAUGUCAACUGCUUCAUUAAACAAUGAGAUGUAGGUACAAAGCAAAAUAAUUAAGGUACAAUACAGUGAAAUUUAGAUGUAAAACAAUGAAAUUAAAGUCAUAAAGUAAUGAGAUUGGAGUUCAAAACAAUAAGCCCAAUUGAUAAUGAUGUGAUUUUAUCUUUUAGAGUGAAAUCAUGAAUUUAUGGAGUAGAUUGACUAAUCUUGAGGGUAUUAUUUGUAAUUUUGUGAGUGUUUUUACUACUUUUAGAAGUGGAAUUACAUGUCCUGGGUGAAGGGACGGGUUGUGACAAUUUACCUCUAUAUUCAACAAUUUCUUUGUUACUUCAUUUUCUUCAAUUUUAUGAACAAAAUUUUAAUUUUUCUAUGGUAUUAAUAAAUAAAUUUUAUUUUAUUUUUUCAAAUUGUGGCUUGUGAUUUUCUUUAUGAAAUAAAUAUAUAGAUAUUUUUAUAAUUUUUCUUUAAUACAAUUUUUUUUUUAAGAUAAUAUUUUAUUUCAGUUAAUUAAAAAACUCUUCCUUUUUUUUUUUUAAUCUCUACAUUAGGUAAUCUCUUAAAAAUAAGAAAGAGGAAUUUCAUGUAAAUCUCUUUAAUGCCCCACAGAAGGUUUGGACUGGGUCUCCAAAAAUCCACCUCUCCCCUUGGUAACCAAAGAUCUUUACUUUGAAUGAUCAAAAUUUUGAAUAAUUUUCUAGAAUAUUAAAAAUUUGUUUGUUGGUGAUUUUAGAAAAUAUUUUUAAUAUUUUUAAUAUUUUAAAAAUUUUAUUAUUUAAGUUUUAAAAAUUUUAAAAAUAUUUUUUAAAAUUAUUGUGAAACACACCUAAAUGAACGGCAACUUUCAAUGAUUUCUGUACAAACAGUGACAGGCAAGACCAUGACCCAAAACUGCUACUAAAUUUCCAUGGCUGGGACGCACCAAUAAUCAUCUGUCGGCCAUGAGUUGACUCUCUUUAAGUCAGGUCCAUGGAAGAUGAUGCAGGGAAGGAAAAGUGGAAUCGGCCUGCAACCUUCCCAGGAAUUAAAUUUUCUUUCUAAAAAACUUUCAUGGAAAAUCCAUCAUUCAUUGUAACUGUUACAGCUUGAGAGAUUAUCUUCCAGUUCAAUCUUUGUAAUUCAAGCUAGUUUUUCCCAGCAUGGAAAAUCCUCUGCGCUAUUUGCUUCUGCUUUUGCCUCUUCUGCUGCUGCUGCCUGUUUCAAGCGUUGCUCAAUCUUCUGGGAACAAUAUUACUUUGGGCUCAUCCCUCACUGCUCGGGACAAUGAUUCGUGGGCAUCCCCAUCUGGAGAAUUUGCUUUUGGAUUCCAAGAGAUUAUACCUGGAGGGUUCUUACUAGCUAUCUGGUUCGACAAAAUACCUGAAAAGACCAUAGUUUGGUCAGCCAAUGGCGAUAAUCUAGUGCAGACAGGAUCCAGGGUUGAGCUUACCAGUAAUGGUGAGUUUGUGCUGAAUGACCCAUCAGGGAAAGAGGUUUGGAGGGCUGAUUCUGGGGGGACUGAAGUCAGCUAUGCAGCCAUGCUCGACACUGGAAACUUUGUGCUGGCGAGCCAAGAAUCCAGCAAUCUGUGGGAGAG
rnacentral:lncRNA from 1 species